AAAUUGAAGAGUUUGAUCAUGGCUCAGAUUGAACGCUGGCGGCAGGCCUAACACAUGCAAGUCGAACGGUAACAGGAAGCAGCUUGCUGCUUUGCUGACAAGUGGCGGACGGGUGAGUAAUGUCUGGGAAACUGCCUGAUGGAGGGGGAUAACUACUGGAAACGGUAGCUAAUACCGCAUAAUGUCGCAAGACCAAAGAGGGGGACCUUCGGGCCUCUUGCCAUUGGAUGUGCCCAGAUGGGAUUAGCUAGUAGGUGGGGUAACGGCUCACCUAGGCGACGAUCCCUAGCUGGUCUGAGAGGAUGACCAGCCACACUG
rnacentral:rRNA from 1 species